UACCAGCACCCCGAGUGGUCGGGAUGAUUAUUGGGCCUAAAGCAUCCGUAGCCGGUUUUACAAGUCCUCCGUUAAAUCCAACUGCUUAACAGAUGGGCUGCGGAGGAUACUAUAAGACUAGGAGGCAGGAGAGGCAAGCGGUACUCAGUGGGUAGGGGUAAAAUCCGUUGAUCCAUUGAAGACCACCAGUGGCGAAGGCGGCUUGCCAGAAUGCGCUCGACGGUGAGGGAUGAAAGCUGGGGGAGCAAACCGG
rnacentral:rRNA from 1 species